UUAAGCGACUAAGCGUACACGGUGGAUGCCCUGGCAGUCAGAGGCGAUGAAGGACGUGCUAAUCUGCGAUAAGCGUCGGUAAGGUGAUAUGAACCGUUAUAACCGGCGAUUUCCGAAUGGGGAAACCCAGUGUGAUUCGUCACACUAUCAUUAACUGAAUCCAUAGGUUAAUGAGGCGAACCGGGGGAACUGAAACAUCUAAGUACCCCGAGGAAAAGAAAUCAACCGAGAUUCCCCCAGUAGCGGCGAGCGAACGGGGAGGAGCCCAGAGCCUGAAUCAGUGUGUGUGUUAGUGGAAGCGUCUGGAAAGGCGCGCGAUACAGGGUGACAGCCCCGUACACAAAAAUGCACAUGCUGUGAGCUCGAUGAGUAGGGCGGGACACGUGGUAUCCUGUCUGAAUAUGGGGGGACCAUCCUCCAAGGCUAAAUACUCCUGACUGACCGAUAGUGAACCAGUACCGUGAGGGAAAGGCGAAAAGAACCCCGGCGAGGGGAGUGAAAAAGAACCUGAAACCGUGUACGUACAAGCAGUGGGAGCCUCUUUAUGGGGUGACUGCGUACCUUUUGUAUAAUGGGUCAGCGACUUAUAUUCUGUAGCAAGGUUAACCGAAUAGGGGAGCCGAAGGGAAACCGAGUCUUAACUGGGCGUUAAGUUGCAGGGUAUAGACCCGAAACCCGGUGAUCUAGCCAUGGGCAGGUUGAAGGUUGGGUAACACUAACUGGAGGACCGAACCGACUAAUGUUGAAAAAUUAGCGGAUGACUUGUGGCUGGGGGUGAAAGGCCAAUCAAACCGGGAGAUAGCUGGUUCUCCCCGAAAGCUAUUUAGGUAGCGCCUCGUGAAUUCAUCUCCGGGGGUAGAGCACUGUUUCGGCAAGGGGGUCAUCCCGACUUACCAACCCGAUGCAAACUGCGAAUACCGGAGAAUGUUAUCACGGGAGACACACGGCGGGUGCUAACGUCCGUCGUGAAGAGGGAAACAACCCAGACCGCCAGCUAAGGUCCCAAAGUCAUGGUUAAGUGGGAAACGAUGUGGGAAGGCCCAGACAGCCAGGAUGUUGGCUUAGAAGCAGCCAUCAUUUAAAGAAAGCGUAAUAGCUCACUGGUCGAGUCGGCCUGCGCGGAAGAUGUAACGGGGCUAAACCAUGCACCGAAGCUGCGGCAGCGACGCUUAUGCGUUGUUGGGUAGGGGAGCGUUCUGUAAGCCUGCGAAGGUGUGCUGUGAGGAUGCUGGAGGUAUCAGAAGUGCGAAUGCUGACAUAAGUAACGAUAAAGCGGGUGAAAAGCCCGCUCGCCGGAAGACCAAGGGUUCCUGUCCAACGGUUAAUCGGGGCAGGGUGAGUCGACCCUAAGGCGAGGCCGAAAGGCGUAGUCGAUGGGAAACAGGUUAAUAUUCCUGUACUUGGGUGUUACUGGCGAAGGGGGGACGGAGAAGGCUAUGUUGGCCGGGCGACGGUUGUCCCGGUUUAAGCGUGUAGGACUGGGUUUUCCAGGCAAAUCCGGAAAAAUCAAGGCUGAGGCGUGAUGACGAGGCACUACGGUGCUGAAGCAACAAAUGCCCUGCUUCCAGGAAAAGCCUCUAAGCAUCAGGUAACAUCAAAUCGUACCCCAAACCGACACAGGUGGUCAGGUAGAGAAUACCAAGGCGCUUGAGAGAACUCGGGUGAAGGAACUAGGCAAAAUGGUGCCGUAACUUCGGGAGAAGGCACGCUGAUAUGUAGGUGAAGCGACUUGCUCGUGGAGCUGAAAUCAGUCGAAGAUACCAGCUGGCUGCAACUGUUUAUUAAAAACACAGCACUGUGCAAACACGAAAGUGGACGUAUACGGUGUGACGCCUGCCCGGUGCCGGAAGGUUAAUUGAUGGGGUUAGCGGUAACGCGAAGCUCUUGAUCGAAGCCCCGGUAAACGGCGGCCGUAACUAUAACGGUCCUAAGGUAGCGAAAUUCCUUGUCGGGUAAGUUCCGACCUGCACGAAUGGCGUAAUGAUGGCCAGGCUGUCUCCACCCGAGACUCAGUGAAAUUGAACUCGCUGUGAAGAUGCAGUGUACCCGCGGCAAGACGGAAAGACCCCGUGAACCUUUACUAUAGCUUGACACUGAACAUUGAGCCUUGAUGUGUAGGAUAGGUGGGAGGCUUUGAAGUGUGGACGCCAGUCUGCAUGGAGCCGACCUUGAAAUACCACCCUUUAAUGUUUGAUGUUCUAACGUUGGCCCCUAAUCGGGGUUGCGGACAGUGUCUGGUGGGUAGUUUGACUGGGGCGGUCUCCUCCUAAAGAGUAACGGAGGAGCACGAAGGUUGGCUAAUCCUGGUCGGACAUCAGGAGGUUAGUGCAAUGGCAUAAGCCAGCUUGACUGCGAGCGUGACGGCGCGAGCAGGUGCGAAAGCAGGUCAUAGUGAUCCGGUGGUUCUGAAUGGAAGGGCCAUCGCUCAACGGAUAAAAGGUACUCCGGGGAUAACAGGCUGAUACCGCCCAAGAGUUCAUAUCGACGGCGGUGUUUGGCACCUCGAUGUCGGCUCAUCACAUCCUGGGGCUGAAGUAGGUCCCAAGGGUAUGGCUGUUCGCCAUUUAAAGUGGUACGCGAGCUGGGUUUAGAACGUCGUGAGACAGUUCGGUCCCUAUCUGCCGUGGGCGCUGGAGAACUGAGGGGGGCUGCUCCUAGUACGAGAGGACCGGAGUGGACGCAUCACUGGUGUUCGGGUUGUCAUGCCAAUGGCACUGCCCGGUAGCUAAAUGCGGAAGAGAUAAGUGCUGAAAGCAUCUAAGCACGAAACUUGCCCCGAGAUGAGUUCUCCCUGACUCCCUGAGAGUCCUGAAGGAACGUUGAAGACGACGACGUUGAUAGGCCGGGUGUGUAAGCGCAGCGAUGCGUUGAGCUAACCGGUACUAAUGAACCGUGAGGCUUAACCUU
rnacentral:rRNA from 1 species